UGGACAACGGGCCGGGUUGGGUCGGUAUGAGCCCAAAACCUCAAACCGGCCCAAUCCACGGGUGGGGAAAUGCAACCCAAAUUGAACCAUUUUAGGGCUUCGGUUAUGUCGGGUUCGGGUAAUUCGGUUUGCGGGUUGCACGACUGGGUUUAUGCGGGUAAGAACAAGCAACCGGCAAAAGAAAUUUGCAAAUCCAGAAGAAAAAAAUUCAGAAGAAAGAACGUUUAAAAUCAAAUAUAGUAGUAAUAUCUUCUCCAGCAAAAGAAAAAUAACAGAUCCAGAUCUACAAAAAAACAAAAUCAAACAAAUUAAAGUAGUGAGAAACAUAUACAGAUAUGCAAAUAGAUGGAGUAUGUUGUUUUGUUCUCGUUAUUCACAGCAAAAUAUUGUCUAAAACAUUGAGAGUAGAAAAGAAAAUUAUGUAGUGAAGAAAAACAAAUAAAGAGAGAAGAAUUCAUUAAAAGAAAAGAGAGUCCAAAAAAUUAGAAGGGGAAUUCAUUAGAGUGAUGUCUUGAGUCUUGAAAGAAAGAACUUGUAGUUGGAUUUGAAAGUUGAAAUUGAAAGUAGAGUUUUGUGAGGAAGGAUACAUUGGAACUCAGCUAUACAGUACUUUUUAAUUUAGGCCAAAUACACGUGAAGGGAAAGUAGUAGUAGUACAUUGGAACACAGAAGCAAUUAAAUGAGGUGUACUGAUUGUGGGUCUCAAGGCACUAGGAAACCUGUAAAAGCUGGCAUAAUAAUAAUAUUAAUACUAAAUAAUGAUAAUAACGUAGCAGCAAUGGGUCGGUUCGGUUUUCGAUGGAUCAAUUUUUGUCACCCGAAACCGACCGAGUCAACUCAGCUGGACUCGAAUUUUGAACUUUUUUCACCCGUGACCCGUUUAAAACCAUCCGUUUCAUCAAUAUUCGGUUCGGAUUAAGCGGGUCCUGGAC
rnacentral:lncRNA from 1 species